CAGUAGCCACGGUAACACAGAGGAUGCAAGCGUUAUCCGGAAUGAUUGGGCGUAAAGCGUCUGUAGGUGGCUUUUCAAGUCCGCCGUCAAAUCCCAGGGCUCAACCCUGGACAGGCGGUGGAAACUACCAAGCUGGAGUACGGUAGGGGCAGAGGGAAUUUCCGGUGGGGCGGUGAAACGCGUUGAGAUCGGAAAGAACACCAACGGCGAAGGCACUCUGCUGGGACGACACUGACACUGAGAGACGAAAGCUAGGGGAGCAAAUGGGAUUAGAUACCCCCGUAGUCCCUGUCUCUUAUAC
rnacentral:rRNA from 1 species